AAAUGGUUCUCUUUACUGCGAGGCUGCAAGGUCACCCAAUGAGAGAGGGGCCAAAUAAGCUGGAACAUCAUCUAAUACACUGAAUGAGUUACUGGAAAAGCAAGAAUAACUUAUGCGGAUUAACAAUAUGGAAACAUCCUGAAACUACUUUGGAAUUGCCAUAAAUUAAGUGGGUUCAAGUUUUGCAAACAGAGAAACGGGUCCAUGAACAAUUUGCUACAGGUAUAAAGAAGUAUCUGCAGAAAUCCAGAGCACUUAUUAAACUUCUUUGAGUUUUCUCAGGAAGAUCAAUACCUGUUG